CCCUGGUUGAUCCUGCCAGUAGUUAUAUGCUUGUCUCAAAGAUUAAGCCAUGCAUGUCUCAGUGCAAGCCGUAUUAGGGCGAUACCGCGAAUGGCUCAAUAUAUCAGUUUUGGUUCCUUAGAUCUUACUCAGUUACUUGGAUAACUGUGGUAAUUCUAGAGCUAAUACAUGCAAUCAGAACUCUGACCAGUGAUGGGACGAGUGCUUUUAUUAGAUCAAAACCAAUCGACGGAGGGCCUCGCGUUCGAAGUCGUUAAUUUUGAUGAAUCUGGAUAACUUUUGCCGAUCGCACGGUCCAGCACCGGCGACGCAUCUUUCAAAUGUCUGCCUUAUCAACUUUCGAUGGUAGUUUCUGCGACUACCAUGGUUGUCACGGGUAACGGGGAAUCAGGGUUCGAUUCCGGAGAGGGAGCCUGAGAAACGGCUACCACAUCCAAGGAAGGCAGCAGGCGCGCAAAUUACCCACUCCCGGCACGGGGAGGUAGUGACGAAAAAUAACGAUACGGGACUCUUACGAGGCCUCGUAAUCGGAAUGAGUACACUUUAAAUAUUUUAACGAGGAACAAUUGGAGGGCAAGUCUGGUGCCAGCAGCCGCGGUAAUUCCAGCUCCAAUAGCGUAUACUAAAAUUGUUGCGGUUAAAAAGCUCGUAGUUGCAUUUGUGCGCCGCGCUGUCGGUGCACCGCAUCCGCGGUGAUACUGACACGUUUGCGGAGCAUAUCGUCGGUGAGCCGACGGUCAAACGUCGGUUCAAUAUCAAAAUCCUAUCGCGGUGCUCUUCAGUGAGUGUCGAGAUGGGCCGACAAUUUUACUUUGAACAAAUUAGAGUGCUCAAAGCGGGCUCAAAAUGCUGCUUGAAUAUUUCGUGCAUGGAAUAAUAGAAUAUGAUCUCGGUUCUAUUUUGUUGGUUUUCAGAACUCCGAGGUAAUGAUUAAUAGGGAUAACUGGGGGCAUUCGUAUUGCGACGUUAGAGGUGAAAUUCUUGGAUCGUCGCAAGACGAACAUCAGCAAAUUUAACACGUGCACCAUGGCUCUGAAGGUUCGAAUUUACCUCAGUUCGAUGUCGGGGCUCGGAAUAGUCUGUAGACGACUUACGUUCCUGGCGGGGUGUUGUGCUCGGUAGAGCAGCGUCGUGCUGCGAUCUGUUGAGACUCAGCCCUACGCCAGGUGAUUCGUCCGAGGACGAUCGUUUUCUUUUUUUUAAUUUAACAAAAUGUGAACAUUCGUUUAAACGUUUACCAUUCAUUCAUUCAUUC
rnacentral:rRNA from 1 species